rnacentral:lncRNA from 1 species
CACAAGGGCAUUUUUGUCAUUUUUCUUCGAUAAUAUCAAAACUCGCCAAAAAUAUGGUGUAAAAGCUAAAUAUGUUCAUACAUAUUUUAAAUCAGAUAAUGAAAAUAUAAAAUUACUUUUACGAUGACACGUGAGCCCCCAACUAACCAAUAAGAUGUGAGUCUAUGAACCUAUAAUUUUGUCAAUGCAAGGCUAACUGAAGUCCUUGAUGCAAUCGGCUAUCUACCGGCUAUCCCGAACCUGAAAUGU